AUGAAGAGAUAUUUUUCAUCCGUGGCCGCAACAGAAGUGCCUACACCCGGAGUUUUAGCAGGGAAUCAAGGGGCCGAGAGGACUGAAGCAAGUCCAGAAAAUGAAACAGCUGCAGAAAUGGGACCACCACCUUCAAUCUCAACUCGAGAAAGCAACGUUUUUGUUAUUCCUGAUUCUGCUCGUGGUCAACUAAGGGAAGGUGAUAUUGAACCUGAUCCUGGUCGUAGGAAACCUAUUGAAAGCUUAGAUCCGGAUAUUAGAGAUGUUGCUAGAAGGAUGUAUGUAAAUAUGGGUCCAUGCCAACCAAGUGGUCAUAAAUUUAAAAAAGAAACUAGAGGAAAUUCUUUGAAAAAGAGAUCCUUUCAAGCUAAAUGGUUCGGGAAGCAUUCUGAUUGGUUGGAAUAUAGUGUUGCUAAGGAGGCAGCCUUUUGUUUCUAUUGCUUUCUUUUUAAGCAACCUAGAGCAGAAAACUAUGGUGUUGAGGCAUUCACAACAGUAGGGUUUAAAAAUUGGAAGGAUGGACUUAGUAUUAUUGAUACACAUGUUGGUAAACAUGAUAGUGCUCACAAUAAAGCUAGACAACAAUAUGUGGCUUUCAAAAAUCAAAGUCAAUCUCUUGUAAAUGUGAUGGAUCGUGGCACCAUAAAGACCCAAGAAGAAUAUAAAGCUCGUCUUAUCAUUAUUUUGGGUGUUAUAAGAUUUCUUCUAUUACAAGCUCUUGCUUUUCGUGGUCAUGAUGAGAGCUCCAGUUCAAAGAAUAGGGGAAAUUUUUUGGAGAUGAUGAGUUGGUACAGGGAGAAGGAUCCGAAUGCUAAGACUUUGCUUGAUAGUGCGGGCGGGAACCAUUUGAUGACUUCACAUGGGAUACAAUUGCAGUCGUGUCAAGCUUGUGCUGAAGAGACCACCAAAGCAAUUAUUGAUGAUAUUGGAGAUAGAAAUUUUUCUUUACUUGUUGAUGAGUCUAGAGAUGCAUCAAUAAAGGAGCAAAUGGCUAUGGUUUUAAGGUAUGUUGAUAAACAUGGGUAUGCGAUUGAGAGGUUCAUUGGGAUUAAGCAUGUUGGUGACACAAGAGCGGCUUCUCUAAAAGCAGCUUUGGAUGGUAUGUUUCUUAAACAUGGCUUGUCUAUGUCUAAAUUGAGAGGGCAAGGGUACGAUGGAGCUUCUAACAUGAGAGGACAAUUUCGUGGGUUGCAAAGGUUGAUACUAGAUGAAAAUCCUUAUGCAUUUUAUAUUCAUUGCUUUGCCCAUCAGUUGCAGUUAGUGGUUGUUGCUGUUGCCAAGUGUUGUUCCUCUGUAUUGGAUUUCUUUAACCACAUAACUUUGAUUGUCAACACUGUCAAUGCUUCUUGUAAGAGACAUGAUGAACUAGCCCAAGAACAACAUGAUAAUAUUGUGAGUCAACUGGAGUCCGGGGAAAUAUUUUCAUGA
rnacentral:rRNA from 1 species